rnacentral:rRNA from 1 species
CCUACGGGCGGCAGCAGUGGGAAUAUUGGACAAUGGGGGCAACCCUGAUCCAGCCAUGCCGCGUGUGUGAAGAAGGCCCUCGGGUUGUAAAGCACUUUCAGUGAGGAAGAACGCCUGGUGGUUAAUACCCAUCAGGAAAGACAUCACUCACAGAAGAAGCACCGGCUAACUCCGUGCCAGCAGCCGCGGUAAUACGGAGGGUGCGAGCGUUAAUCGGAAUUACUGGGCGUAAAGCGCGCGUAGGUGGCUUGAUAAGCCGGUUGUGAAAGCCCCGGGCUCAACCUGGGAACGGCAUCCGGAACUGUCAAGCUAGAGUGCAGGAGAGGAAGGUAGAAUUCCCGGUGUAGCGGUGAAAUGCGUAGAGAUCGGGAGGAAUACCAGUGGCGAAGGCGGCCUUCUGGACUGACACUGACACUGAGGUGCGAAAGCGUGGGUAGCAAACAGGAUUAGAUACCCUAGUAGUC